rnacentral:rRNA from 1 species
GACGAACGCUGGCGGCGUGCUUAACACAUGCAAGUCGAACGGAAAGGCCCUGCUUUUGUGGGGUGCUCGAGUGGCGAACGGGUGAGUAACACGUGAGUAACCUGGCCUUGACUUUGGGAUAACUUCAGGAAACUGGGGCUAAUACCGGAUAGGAGCUCCUGCUGCAUGGUGGGGGUUGGAAAGUUUCGGCGGUUGGGGAUGGACUCGCGGCUUAUCAGCUUGUUGGUGGGGUAGUGGCUUACCAAGGCUUUGACGGGUAGCCGGCCUGAGAGGGUGACCGGCCACAUUGGGACUGAGAUACGGCCCAGACUCCUACGGGAGGCAGCAGUGGGGAAUAUUGCACAAUGGGCGGAAGCCUGAUGCAGCAACGCCGCGUGCGGGAUGACGGCCUUCGGGUUGUAAACCGCUUUCGCCUGUGACGAAGCGUGAGUGACGGUAAUGGGUAAAGAAGCACCGGCUAGCUACGUG